rnacentral:rRNA from 1 species
UACGGAGGGUGCAAGCGUUAAUCGGAAUUACUGGGCGUAAAGCGCGCGUAGGUGGUUUGAUAAGCGAGAUGUGAAAGCCCCGGGCUUAACCUGGGAACGGCAUUUCGACUGUCAGCUAGAGUAUGGUAGAGGAGUGUGGAAUUUCCUGGUGAUAGCGGUGAAAUACGUAGAUAUAGGAAGGAACACCAGUGGCGAAG